AUGGGCGCAAGCCUGAUGCAGCCAUGCCGCGUGUGUGAAGAAGGCCUUCGGGUUGUAAAGCACUUUCAGUAAGGAGGAAAGGUUAAGUUUUAAUAGAGCUUAGCUGUGACGUUACUUACAGAAGAAGCACCGGCUAACUCCGUGCCAGCAGCCGCGGUAAUACGGAGGGUGCGAGCGUUAAUCGGAAUUACUGGGCGUAAAGCGUACGCAGGCGGUUUGUUAAGCGAGAUGUGAAAGCCCCGGGCUCAACCUGGGAACUGCAUUUCGAACUGGCAAACUAGAGUGUGAUAGAGGGUGGUAGAAUUUCAGGUGUAGCGGUGAAAUGCGUA
rnacentral:rRNA from 1 species